AGACUUCUUGUCUUCUGCUUUCUGUCUGCGUGACAAGAACCAGAGGAGAGGGUGAAGGGAAAGCCCUCUAACCCCUUGAUGCCAUGACUUAGAUGCAUCAUGCUGGACAGGCAAUUUGUAGCCAGACGCUCUUCAGACAAGCUGGCGCUGGUGGAAGAGCAACCCAGAACACUGUAUUAUGGAUGCCAAGCUGGAAAAAUCCUGAUCUAAGCUGGCCACACCCUAGAGUCAGGAAUAUCCCCUGAUGGGCGAACAUGUGGGAGCCACUGUGGGAGCUGGUGCAACCAGCACUUUUCAUUGUGUCCUUUCAGUCCAUUACAUGGGUGGUACACCCCAGAGAAUGGUGGGUGGACCGGCUACACCCUAAUUGCAGUACAUACAUAGAAGGGCUGAAGCAACAAUUUAAUUGGUGGGUGAGGGGACAUGCAUGGAACUGUCACUGGAAAAGGGAUUUGUGGGGAGCAGGAACCACAGGGUUGGGAGUAUGGAACCUGGGGGACAGUUGGGUAACCAAGCAAUUGAUAAGCCAAAAUGUGAAAUUGCAGCAGCAAAUCAAUGAGCUCCUGGCACAACAGCUAUCUGCAAUUGCAACGGGGUGGAAGAGGGUGGCAGAGGUGAGCCUGCGGCUAACGCAAUGGACAGGUAACCUUGUGACAUGGGUGGGGGAUGGCUUCAGAAGGCUACACUUGGGAGUACAAGUACAUCAGCAUCUGUCAGUUACACCCAUCUACACGCUGCCAGCAGGACUUUGGUGCAUGAAUGGAUCUGUGGAACUCAUUGUUGUGGACAAUCAAACCACUGCCUACUACCUGAUUCCAUACCAAGUGGUCAAGCUGGUUUGGACAAUACCCCAUUUCUCGGUGGACACUCAAUGGACUCAUGAUGUAGACAAAAGUUCAAAUCCCUUCUCUGGAACAAACCCACACUGGAAUUUUUCAAUUCACUAGAAAUUGUGAAAAAAUUCAGAUUUGGUUCAUCCUAAACCAAACCAUUUUUUCAAUGUUUUUGAACAGUCAUAGAACCAAAAUACCAGUUAUUCAACUAGUUCUACCUGUAACUCUUGAAGAUCCCACAGCACUUUGCUCAAGGGUGGGGCUGGCAACUCCAUUACCCUAAACAAAUUUGAACUUAGGUUACUGCAUUCUCACCACCUACAUCACCCUUGAUGCUUCACCUGGAUAUGAUUUUCUUCAAUUCCUCCUAUAAACAGUUGUGUAGUGUUGCUGCAAGAAAGAGUUGGUGGGAAAUGGGCCUGCUGUUGCUGUUCCCAGUUUAGCCGCCUUCUGCUCAUUGAUGCUCUUACCCAUUUCACUAGGUCAAUUUAAACCAAGCUAAUUAAAAGCUUUAAAGGCUUUGAUAAUGCACUGGUUUUGUAAAUUAGCUUUGGGAACAACAGAGCAGGAUACGCUUUUUUCAAGGAGCGUUGAUCAGAGACUCUAGAAAAGGGAAGAGGGAUGUUUUGAGGUGAAUGUGAAGAUGAAUGGCCCAGCCAAUUGGUAAGGGAAUAUGGAGCUUUCAAGUUACAUGGUGCAUGUUUCAUGGGUCGGUAGCGAUUGAAUACCACCAUUUCCCAUCACUGUUUGGUGGGCUAUGUCUAAUAACUUGGUGAGUCUCAUUUCAACUACCAAUGCCCAGGUGUUCACAUCACAAAAACCACUGCACUUGUGCUAAUUGACCUCCUGGUUGACAAGUCUUAGCAGAGGGAUCAAGAACCAAAUGGACCAUGGAGAUUGUACUACAAUGCCUGCUUAACGAUGACACUUCCAGGACAGGGUUGGCAGAAGGAAGCUUACCCUGCUGCCUUCUCCCCGUAUUGCUUCUGCAGAUACAGCAGGAUCCAGAACUGUCAGAUCAACACCUUUCACCUGAACUAAACAUACAUAACUUCUGUGUAAGGUCCAAGAAUUAGGGUGGACUUCAACCUAAAGCCCCUUUCAGCUUGUCCAGACAAAUAAAAAGGAAAAGAAAGGAAAAAUCCCAUGAAAUGGGUUUAAAUAGGAACAAAGAUUCUUUUCUCUAAUUAGGGCGGGUUAGCCUUUGUCCAGGCACUGUUCUGCAUGCCCUCUGUGGAAGGCA